rnacentral:lncRNA from 10 species
GAUGCAGACCCCUCAACCUUGUACUCCUCAGUCUCCAGAACUGCGGUGGGAGAAGCAUGAAAUGCAUUUGCAGUGGCCUUGGGCCAUUGGUGGUGUCCGCAGGUGAGACAUCUCGAGUGCCUCAUGGACAAACUUCCUCAUGGAAUCCACUGGAGCAAUUAUGAGAGUCCACGGCCUCUCUUCUCUGGUUCUACCCUCUCCCAAUCUCUCACCUGUGCCGAUCACCUCAGUAAUUUGGAAACGGGCUAAGGAGGUCUCUCUUGGCACUGAGCUGUGACACCUUGGGGGAGAAAAAGUGCAGGUAAAGUGCAACUGUUCUUAUUCUCUUCUCUUCUCCGUAUGCAUACUCAAACUUUUUGCUCUGAGAAUGUGCUGAAACUUCUUU